AUGAAGGGGACGGAAGCACGUGGUGAUCUUCAGAAACCUGUGACGUCACUUCCUAUCACUUGGCCUAUCACUCACCCCAGGUUAAGCAAUCCAGAGAGUGACCCCAUGUCCUCCCAGGAGCAAGUCUGCUGCUGCAGCCUUCAAGCAUGUGUUUGCCCCCUAAUAACGCUGGCAGUGGUGAGUGUCUUUAAUUGGGAUGUUCUGUAACGGGGGUUCAGGCUUGGGAUCUCUUGUAAAAUUCUUGGUGUGAAACAAAUAUCCAAAAAGGCUGGUUUCCAUCUCUCUUAAGGUGGAAAAGGGGCAUAAUGUUUUCUUUCUUUCUUUCUUUUUUCUUUUUAUAGCCAUACCUAUGGUGUAUGGAAGUUCCCAGGCUAGGUGUUGAAUCAGAGCUGCAGCUGCCACCUACACCACAGCCACAGCAACACCAGAUAUGAGCCAUAGUGCAGUGACCCACACUGCAGCUUGUGGCAACACUGGAUCCUUAACCCACUGGGUGAGGCCACUGGGUGAGGCCAGGGAUCAAACUUGCAUCCUCACAGCCACUAUAUUGGGUUCUUAACCCAUUGAGCCACAAGGGAAGCUCCAUGGGGGGCAUAAUCUUAACUCAUCCUCAUGACAACCCUGGAGAGUGUUGUUGUUAUUGUCAUUACCAUGUUUCGAUUGCCGGGUUUAAGCUGAUGAAAAUAAAAAGUAUAUAUAUAUGCUUUAAGGUCCA
rnacentral:lncRNA from 1 species